rnacentral:lncRNA from 1 species
CAAUUUUCGUUAUUUUUAUAAUCUUUUUGGGGGAUGAUGAUGUCCUGACCCCACCUUAUUUAGUUUAAUUUUUCAUAAUUUUCUUGCUUAAUUUACUAUUUAUUCUUGAUUUAUUUCUAACCUAGUCUUAUUAAUUGACUUUUGGUUUGACCUAUGUUUUGUUUUAAUUAAUUCACGUGCCAAUUUUCAUUAUUUUUAAAAUACUUUUGGGGGAUGAUGAUGUCCUGACCCCAUAUUAUUUAGUUUAAUUUUUUCAUAAUUUUCUUGAUUAAUUUGCUAUUUAUUUGUUAUUUUUUAAGUUGACUUGAAUUUUCAGUUGACUUCUGUAUGAUCGAUGUUUGACUUAGGGAUUGCUUAUGGCAAUUGAAGAGAUAUUUUGAUCCUCCCUCGUUCAUAUCAUAUGCCAUGUAUUAGAGGCCUCUUACCUUGAUUUUAUUUGGUCCUUACCUCAUUUCCUGAUUAAAUUAUUCAGUGGACCCUUCGUGUGCAUAUUUUCAUCUGUUUGAUUCAUCUGUUAUCUUUUAGAGAGAGAUUAAACCUCAACAACAGUUCCCUUAGUUUCUCAAACCUCCAUCUUUCAAAAUGCAAAG